rnacentral:rRNA from 1 species
UACGUAGGGGGCAAGCGUUGUUCGGAAUUACUGGGCGUAAAGGGCGCGUAGGCGGCACAGCAAGUCAGGAGUGAAAGGCCUGGGCUCAACCGAGGAACUGCUUUUGAGACUGCCGAGCUAGAGUGCGGAAGGGGCAACCGGAAUUCCCAGUGUAGCGGUGAAAUGCGUAGAUAUUGGGAAGAACACCUGAGGCGAAGGCGGGUUGCUGGGCCGACACUGACGCUGAGGCGCGAAAGCCAGGGGAGCAAACGGG